UCUCGACGCCCAUGGCGGACGGUGACCGCCGAACAUAUGUCGUUAUUAAAGUUGUUGUUUGGUUGGCGUUGAGAGAGGUCUGCACGCACCAGCGCCGAAUUGAAGCGGGGCCAUGGCGGAUCCAGUGACAGUAAUUUUUUUCGUGAACGAUGACCAUGCAACCUGGUGGGAUCGACCUCAACUUUAACAGCUCGGAUGUGGAUGGUUGGAGGAGACGAAGAGAUCGGAUUGGAUAUCGAAGGAAGCUAAAGGAUGCAUCAUGAAUUAGCAUUAGAAAAGGUUCUGAAAUAAUGGGAGUUGCAGGGAAGACGGGGAGUAUCUCUGGUGAAGAGAACUAAAGAGAGAAACAUAGAGCAAUACAUGUUACCAUCUUAAGAUAACCACAUUUAGUUUUUAUUAUCUGUAUUUCACAAAUUUGUUAUUUUUUUUAAUCUCGAUUCAAUGGAUUUACUGUGACAAAUUCUAACGAGCUUAUAUAGACACUUUUUAUAUUAUGAAAAUCCAAAUCCCUUGAGAAUCACCGUAGCAGAAAAACUUGAAUUCUCCACAACCAGAUCCUAAUGGUUUAACAAUUUAAUCAACUAUUUCUGAAACUUAUGUAGUUCCAUUUGAAGUACUCGAAGAACUCAGAUAUGAUUCAGGAAAAGCUAGAUUUGCUUACAAACAAGCAAAAUGGUUUCUUCUGACUUAUUUUAUGUUAUCUCAUCAAUUUUUCUUGUUUUAGAAUUUUGUAAAUACG